rnacentral:rRNA from 1 species
CCUACGGGAGGCAGCAGUAGGGAAUCUUCCACAAUGGGCGAAAGCCUGAUGGAGCAACGCCGCGUGAGUGAUGAAGGCCUUCGGGUUGUAAAACUCUGUCAUUCGGGACGAACCGGAGUCUGAGGAAAUGCAGACUCUCUGACGGUACCGGAGGAGGAAGCCCCGGCUAACUACGUGCCAGCAGCCGCGGUAAUACGUAGGGGGCAAGCGUUGUCCGGAUUCACUGGGCGUAAAGCGCGCGCAGGCGGUGAUGUAAGUCUGAGGUGAAAACCCGAAGCUCAACUUCGGGACUGCCUUGGAUACUGCGUCACUUGAGGAUAGGAGAGGCAAGGGGAAUUCCACGUGUAGCGGUGAAAUGCGUAGAGAUGUGGAGGAACACCUGUGGCGAAGGCGCCUUGCUGGCCUAUUUCUGACGCUGAGGCGCGAAAGCGUGGGGAGCAAACAGGAUUAGAUACCCUGGUAGUCCACGCUGUAAACGAUGAGUGCUAGGUGUAGGUGGGCUCAUACCACUCUGUGCGAGCGACGCGAUAGUCACUCCGCCGGGGACGGUACGGUUCGCGAGACGNGAACGACGAAGGAAGUUAGACGGCGUUGAGACGUUGCCGACGGACGACGACCGAGGGGAGGUAGGAG